rnacentral:misc_RNA from 1 species
GAUGAAGAACGUAGCGAAAUGCGAUACUUGGUGUGAAUUGCAGAAUCCCGUGAACCAUCGAGUCUUUGAACGCAAGUUGCGCCCGAAGCCAUUAGGCCGAGGGCACGCCUGCCUGGGCGUCACACGUCGUUGCCCCCCCAUCUACUCCUUCGGGAUUGCGGGGGGCGGAGGAUGGCCUCCCGUGCGCCUCGCCGCGCGGUUGGCAUAAAUGCCAAGUCCUCGGCGACGCACGCCACGACAAUCGGUGGUUGCGAAACCUCGGUUGCCCGUCGUGUGCGGUCGUCGCGCAUCGAGGGCUCGAAAAAAUUGCCGGGUUCCGGCUCGGCUUUCAACGCGACCCCAGGUCAGGCGGGGUUACCCGCUGAAUUUAAGCAUAUCAAUAAGCGGAGGA